UGUGUAUUUUUUUCAGAUUUUGUUUGGACGUGUACAAGUACACAUAAAAUUUGUAACUUACAAAUUUUUAGUUUUUUUUUUUUAUUUUGCGAAGCGUAAAGAUGUUCCGACUUGUCAAUUUGAUUCACCAUUGCCUGACGGUCAUGUGCCCUGGCGAGGUUCAGCACAAUCAUCCAGGUCGUCUUGGGAAGUGCUUCAUACAGGCAGCUGAGCGUCGUGCGAAUUGCGUCCCGUCAAAUCUUCGACAUGUGUCCCGCUCUGAGAAGCGUGAAGGAUGGUUCAAUAGUUUAAAUUGUGAUGGAAAUGGCGAAGGUCAGAAUAUCCUUACGCAGACUGUGGAGUGAUAAAUUACGUAGGAGAAGGUCUUAUCCUGCAUGUUAUUUUUAUUUUAAAUUUGAAAAGUUAGCCUUAGAUGCCUAGCCCUUCUUCGAUCUUGGGGUCCUUGAACGGAUUAUGAUUACUGCUGGCCUCUGGGCCCUGGGCAAAUUUUGUACUGUUUCAUUUUCCGACAAAGAUUCUGUCUACAAAUGAUACCAGUUGAUGGAGAAAAUACCAAAGAUACGCGUAGAGUCUCGGGCUGCAUAUGCUUGGAAGCAGUGAUGGAAGCAGCUUCUCUGAUGACUUGUGGAGAACCAAGACACUCGGGGUUUGAA